CAGAAAAUAGUUUAGUUUAGAAUUCGGCUUUGGGAGCCAGGGGUGGGAGUUAAAAUCUCCUUUUUCUGG
rnacentral:tRNA from 1 species